GACGUGCGCAGGCGGUUAGUGUAAGACAGAUGUGAAAUACCCGGGCCUCAACCUGGGAACUGCAUUAGUGACUGCAUAGCUGGAGUACGGCAGAGGGGGAUGGAAUUCCGCGUGUAGCAGUGAAAUGCGUAGAUAUGCGGAGGAACACCGAUGGCGAAGGCAAUCCCCUGGGCCUGUACUGACGCUCAUGCACGAAAGCGUGGGGAGCAAACAGGAUUAGAUACCCCAGU
rnacentral:rRNA from 1 species